ACCCAGUGUUGGGUUUGUGCCAACAUCUGCUACAUCACCUGACCCUCUGUUGAUCACCACUGCAACCAAUGUUGGGCAUAUGUCAACAACUGCUACAUCACCUGGCCCUCUGUUGAGCACCAAUGCACCUAGUGCUGGGUCUGUGUCAACACCUGCUACAUCACCUG